GCUAAGUGGGGAGCUAACAUGAUGCAGCACAGUGCAGGCUAAGUGGGGAGAUAACUUGAUGCAGCCCAGUGCUGGCUAAGUGGGUAGCUAACAUGAUGCAGCCCAGUGCUGGCUAAGUGGGGAGCUAACAUGAUGCAGCACAGUGCAGGCUAAGCGGGGAGCAAACAUGAUACAGCACAGUGCUGGCUAAGUGGGGAGCUAACAUGAUGCAGCACAGUGCAGGCUAAGUGGGGUGCUAACAUGAUGCAGCACAGUGCAGGCUAAGUGGGGAGAUAACUUGAUGCAGCCCAGUGCAGGCUAAGUGGGGAGCUAACAUGAUGCAGCCCAGUGCAGGUUAUGGGGAGGUAACAUGAUGCAGCCCAGUGCAGGCUAAGUGGGGAGCUAACAUGACGCAACCCAGUGCUGGCUAAGUGGGGAGCUAACAUGAUGCAGCCCAGUGCUGGCUAAGUGGGGAGCUAACAUGAUGCAGCCCAGUGCAGGUUAUGGGGAGCUAACAUGAUGCAGCCCAGUGCAGGUUAUGGGGAGGUAACAUGAUGCAGCCCAGUGCAGGUUAUGGGGAGCUAACAUGAUGCAGCCCAGUGCAGGUUAUGGGGAGCUAACAUGAUGCAGCCCAGUGCAGGCUAAGUGGGAGCUAACAUGAUGCAGCCCAGUGCUGGCUAAGUGGGGAGCUAACAUGAUGCAGCACAGUGCAGGCUAAGUGGGGAGAUAACUUGAUGCAGCCCAGUGCAGGCUAAGUGGGGAGCUAACAUGAUGCAGCCCAGUGCAGGUUAUGGGGAGGUAACAUGAUGCAGCCCAGUGCAGGCUAAGUGGGGAGCUAACAUGAUGCAGCCCAGUGCUGGCUAAGUGGGGAGCUAACAUGAUGCAGCACAGUGCAGGCUAAGUGGGGAGAUAACUUGAUGCAGCCCAGUGCAGGCUAAGUGGGGAGCUAACAUGAUGCAGCCCAGUGCAGGUUAUGGGGAGGUAACAUGAUGCAGCCCAGUGCAGGCUAAGUGGGGAGCUAACAUGACGCAACCCAGUGCUGGCUAAGUGGGGAGCUAACAUGAUGCAGCCCAGUGCAGGUUAUGGGGAGGUAACAUGAUGCAGCCCAGUGCUGGCUAAGUGGGGAGCUAACAUGAUGCAGCCCAGUGCUGGCUAAGUGGGGAGCUAACAUGAUGCAGCCCAGUGCUGGCUAAGUGGGGAGCUAACAUGAUGCAGCCCAGUGCUGGCUAAGUGGGGAGCUAACAUGAUGCAGCCCAGUGCUGGCUAAGUGGGGAGCUAACAUGAUGCAGCCAAGUGCUGGCUAAGUGGGGAGCUAACAUGAUGCAGCACAGUGCAGGCUAAGUGGGGAGAUAACUUGAUGCAGCCCAGUGCUGGCUAAGUGGGUAGCUAACAUGAUGCAGCCCAGUGCUGGCUAAGUGGGGAGCUAACAUGAUGCAGCACAAUGCAGGUUAA